rnacentral:rRNA from 1 species
CGGAGGGUGCAAGCGUUGCUCGGAAUUAUUGGGCGUAAAGGGUAGGUAGGUGGUCUCAUUUGUCUGGGGUGAAAGCCUUGAGCUUAACUCAAGAAGUGCCCCGGAAACGGUGAGACUAGAGUCUUGGAGAGGGUCGUGGAAUUCCCGGUGUAGCGGUGAAAUGCGUAGAGAUCGGGAGGAACACCAGAGGCGAAGGCGGCGACCUGGACAAGUACUGACACUCAACUACGAAAGCGUGGGGAGCAAACAGGAUUAGAUACCCUGGUAGUCCACGCUGUAAACGAUGGGUACUAGAUUUGGUGGGUCUUGACCCCCGCCGAAUCGGCGCUAACGCAAUAAGUACCCCGCCUGGGAAGUACGGUCGCAAGACUA